rnacentral:rRNA from 1 species
GACGAACGCUGGCGGCGUGCCUAACACAUGCAAGUCGAGCGGAGAUAGACUGAUGGUAACUGAAGCUUAUCUUAGCGCGGACGGUGAGUAACACGUGGGCAACCUGCCUUGGGAGUGGGGGAUAACACCGGGAAAUCGGUGCUAAUACCGCAUAACAUACACAAACUGCAUGGUAAGUGUAUCAAAGGAGUAAUCCGCUUUAAGAUGGGCCCGCGGCUGAUUAGCUAGUUGGUAAGGUAACGGCUUACCAAGGCGACGAUCAGUAGCCGACCUGAGAGGGUGACCGGCCACACUGGAACUGAGACACGGUCCAGACUCCUACGGGAGGCAGCAGUGGGGAAUAUUGCGCAAUGGGGGGAACCCUGACGCAGCAACGCCGCGUGGAGGAAGAAGGUCUUCGGAUUGUAAACUCCUGUCUUCUGGGACGAAGUAUGACGGUACCAGAGGAGGAAGCCACGGCUAACUACGUG